rnacentral:sRNA from 1 species
UCAUCACCAUCAUUCAACCUGAUAUCUUUCGGGCAUUUGAGUGUGGUCGGAAGAUAGAAAAUCUUCCGAGUACGUAUAAAGCAAAAUCGCAUAUCGCAGCAAAAUACACAACCUCUCGGAAGGCAACUUUCGAGAGGUUUUUUAU